rnacentral:tRNA from 1 species
CGGUCGGUGGUCGGUCGGACAAGGCAAUCGCUGUUAAAGCCAGUGCUGGCAAGGGUUCUGCGCCAUCCGGUCGG